UGGGGAAUUUUGGACAAUGGGCGAAAGCCUGAUCCAGCAAUGCCGCGUGUGUGAAGAAGGCCUUCGGGUUGUAAAGCACUUUUGUCCGGAAAGAAAUCCUUGGCUCUAAUACAGUCGGGGGAUGACGGUACCGGAAGAAUAAGCACCGGCUAACUACGUGCCAGCAGCCGCGGUAAUACGUAGGGUGCAAGCGUUAAUCGGAAUUACUGGGCGUAAAGCGUGCGCAGGCGGUUUGCUAAGACCGAUGUGAAAUCCCCGGGCUCAACCUGGGAACUGCAUUGGUGACUGGCAGGCUAGAGUAUGGCAGAGGGGGGUAGAAUUCCACGUGUAGCAGUGAAAUGCGUAGAGAUGUGGAGGAAUCACC
rnacentral:rRNA from 1 species